UAUUUCAGAGUUUUUAUAUGUGAGGUAAUCUUGCUGGGAGUGAAGGCAGUGCAUAUGACCACUUGAUAUGAGAGACACAUCCUGUUUUUAAAGGUCAACAUACUGUAAGCUUCAUUCCCUUUAAAGCAGAGUUUUCGUAUGUGAGGUAAUCUUGCUGGGAGUGAAGGCAGUGCGUAUGACCGCUUGAUAUGAAAGACACAUCCUGUUUUUAAAGGUGGAUCAUGAGUGAAGCUCUGCAGGUCUGCCAUUUCCCUUUCUUAUCUUACUCUUAUCUGACUAAAUGUUCAGCAUCAUUGCAACAAAACAAAGAACAUUGGAUGGAGUAUUGGAGUAUUGGAUGAUCCCGUAAAGAAAAUAAUAUGGACUUUUUUGGUGAGAUUCUACAAAGAUUGACACAAUCCUAUUGACUUUUAUUUUUACAGUUAAUAAUGCAUUAUAAACAUCCCAUUCAUUUGUAUUCUAUGUCAUCGAUCUGUUUGUGCUAAAAUGUAUACAUCUGAAUGUAAUGUCAAUAAUAUGUUAAUAUUCAGGAUUUAUUAUCAUUUGCAUGUUUUGAUGUUGCAUAUCAUGAUUUUAUUGAUUUCAUGUAAUUGUUGUCUAUUUAAAAUGAUUUUAAUUGCCAAAUUUUAUUGUUAAUUUAUUUAAUAUUGAAGCUGUUAUUUAACAUCCAUAUCUUAUUUGAGUAGUGAUUUGUUAUAUUUGCAUAAUAAUUAAUAUAUUUAUUCUGAUUGUGAUUUUAAUGCACAUAUUUAUUAUUGUAUGACACCUCAUGUAAUGAAAAAGUGAAAAUAAAAGUAUGUUCUGAUGUCUUGCAAUUCUGUUUUUAAACUGUUAAACCUUAUAAAGUGCUGUAAAUAAGAAAAAACUAAUAAAAAAAUAAUCCUCCUGACUGCUGAUAAAUGAAAGGGUUCUUUAUAGCACCACUGAGGUUCUAUUUAGCACUUUUUCAAGGCAAGGUUCUAUAUAGAACCAUCUAAAAAAGGGUUCUAUAUAGUACCAGAAAGGGUGCUGCUAUUGUUACAAGCUGAAGAACCCUUAUUUGGUACUAUAUAGAACCAUUUUUCUUA